rnacentral:rRNA from 1 species
UCAGGGAAACCUGUUCCUUAAUUCGAUAAUCCACGAACGUCCGAGCCCUUCUUGUAAAAUCAGCCUGUGUACUGCCGUCAUAAGUAUGCCUCCAAGAGAGCAUGCAAGAAUAUUUCUAUUUAUGUCAGGUCAAGGUGCAGCCAAUGAAAGGCGGGUGAUGGGUUACACUCUAAACUUAGCUACCAACACUAAAUUGAAAAAUUAGAUAAAAGCUGGACUUGAAAGUAAUGAUAAUUACCAAUCUAUCAUGAAAAGGAAUCUAA